AUUGAACGCUGGCGGUAUGCUUAACACAUGCAAGUCGAACGGCAGCAUGGUCUAGCUUGCUAGACUGAUGGCGAGUGGCGAACGGGUGAGUAAUACAUCGGAACGUACCCAGUUAUGGGGGAUAACUAACCGAAAGGUUAGCUAAUACCGCAUACGCCCUGGAGGGGGAAGCGGGGACCGUAGGCCUCGUGUAAUUGGAG
rnacentral:rRNA from 1 species